rnacentral:lncRNA from 1 species
CUGACUGGUACCAUUUUCUAUCCCUGCCAGCUGGAGUGAUCACCACUUCAGGAAGACCCUGGGUUGAGCUGUUCCAGGAGACAAGAUGGACGGACAGCUGAGCAUCACAGCUGGAGCCAGCGAGUCAGCGCGGCUUCUCAGAGAGCAGAGCUGUAGGUGGCUGGCCAAGCGAGUCCGAUGCGCUCAGGGACCUAAACGGGCCAGCCCCCAGCUCCG